UCACUCUUUAGAGUAUAUUUUUUUAUAUAUCCCCCUAUGUGUGUGUAUAGAAAAUCUCAUUAAGGGGCCUCUACCCCUAAAAAAUCUAUACAACUUUCAACAACGGAUCUCUUGGUUCUCGCAUCGAUGAAGAACGCAGCGAAAUGCGAUAAGUAAUGUGAAUUGCAGAAUUCAGUGAAUCAUCGAAUCUUUGAACGCACCUUGCGCUCCUUGGUAUUCCGAGGAGCAUGCCUGUUUGAGUGUCAUGAAAUUCUCAACCUAGUUCAGCUUUAUUGUUGGAUCAGGCUUGGAUCUAUGGGGGUUUGCGGGCUUCAUAAGUCAGCUCUCCUUAAAUGCAUUAGCAUAAUCUUUGUUAUCUAGCUUUGGUGUGAUAAUGGUUAUGUCAUGGCUUAAUGUAACUUGGGAAUAAGAUCAUG
rnacentral:rRNA from 1 species